GAUGAUCCCAGCUUGCUGGGGGAUUAGUGGCGAACGGGUGAGUAACACGUGAGUAACCUGCCCUUGACUCUGGGAUAAGCCUGGGAAACUGGGUCUAAUACCGGAUACGACCAUCUGACGCAUGUCAGGUGGUGGAAAGUUUUUGUGGUUUUGGAUGGACUCGCGGCCUAUCAGCUUGUUGGUGGGGUAAUGGCCUACCAAGGCGACAACGGGUAGCCGGCCUGAAAGGGUGACCGGCCACACUGGGACUGAAACACGGCCCAAACUCCUACGGGAGGCAGCAGUGGGGAAUAUUGCACAAUGGGCGCAAGCCUGAUGCAGCGACGCCGCGUGAGGAUGACGGCCUCGGGUUGUAACCUCUUUCAGUAGGGAAGAAGCAAAAGUGACGGUACCUGCAGAAGAAGCGCCGGUAACUACGUGCCACAGCCGCGGUAAUACGUAGGGCGCAAGCGUUAUCCGAAUUAUUGGGCGUAAAGAGCUCGUAGGCGGUUUGUCGCGUCUGCUGUGAAAGACCGGGGCUCAACUCCGGUUCUGCAGUGGGUACGGGCAGACUAGAGUGAUGUAGGGGAGACUGGAAUUCCUGGUGUAGCGGUGAAAUGCGCAGAUAUCAGGAGGAACACCGAUGGCGAAGGCAGGUCUCUGGGCAUUAACUGACGCUGAGGAGCGAAAGCAUGGGGAGCGAACAGGAUUAGAUACCCUGGUAGUCCAUGCCGUAAACGUUGGGCACUAGGUGUGGGGGACAUUCCACGUUUCCGCGCGUAGCUACGCAUUAAGUGCCCGCCUGGGGAGUACGGCGCAGCUAAACUCAAAGAUUGACGGGGGCCCGCACAAGCGGCGGAGCAUGCGGAUUAAUUCGAUGCAACGCGAAGAACCUUACCAAGGCUUGACAUGAACCGGUAAUACCUGGAAACAGGUGCCCCGCUUGCGGUCGGUUUACAGGUGGUGCAUGGUUGUCGUCAGCUCGUGUCGUGAGAUGUUGGGUUAAGUCCCGCAACGAGCGCAACCCUCGUUCUAUGUUGCCAGCGCGUUAUGGCGGGGACUCAUAGGAGACUGCCGGGGUCAACUCGGAGGAAGGUGGGGACGACGUCAAAUCAUCAUGCCCCUUAUGUCUUGGGCUUCACGCAUGCUACAAUGGCCGGUACAAAGGGUUGCGAUACUGUGAGGUGGAGCUAAUCCCAAAAAGCCGGUCUCAGUUCGGAUUGGGGUCUGCAACUCGACCCCAUGAAGUCGGAGUCGCUAGUAAUCGCAGAUCAGCAACGCUGCGGUGAAUACGUUCCCG
rnacentral:rRNA from 1 species